AGAGUUUGAUCCUGGCUCAGAACGAACGCUGGCGGCGUGCCUAACACAUGCAAGUCGAGCGCGAAUGGAGCAAUCCUAGUAGAGCGGCGCACGGGUGCGUAACACGUGGAUAAUCUGCCUGGAAGACUGGAAUAACCUGCCGAAAGGCUGGCUAAUACCAGAUAAGCCCACGGGGACUUCGGUCCUAGAGGGAAAAGGUGGCCUCUGUAUACAAGCUAUCACUUCCAGAUGAGUCCGCGGCCCAUCAGCUAGUUGGCGGGGUAAUGGCCCACCAAGGCAACGACGGGUAGCUGGUCUGAGAGGACGAUCAGCCACACUGGAACUGAGACACGGUCCAGACUCCUACGGGAGGCAGCAGUGGGGAAUUUUGCACAAUGGGCGAAAGCCUGAUGCAGCAACGCCGCGUGUGUGAUGAAGGUCUUCGGAUCGUAAAGCACUUUCGACCGGGACGAACACCUCUUGGCUAACAUCCAAGAGCCUGACGGUACCGGGAGAAGAAGCACCGGCUAACUCUGUGCCAGCAGCCGCGGUAAUACAGAGGGUGCAAGCGUUGUUCGGAAUUAUUGGGCGUAAAGCGCGUGUAGGCGGCUUUGCAAGUCGGGUGUGAAAGCCCUCAGCUUAACUGAGGAAGUGCGCCCGAAACUGCUUGGCUUGAGUACCGGAGAGGAUGGCGGAAUUCCCCAAGUAGAGGUGAAAUUCGUAGAUAUGGGGAGGAACACCGGUGGCGAAGGCGGCCAUCUGGACGGAUACUGACGCUGAGACGCGAAAGCGUGGGUAGCAAACAGGAUUAGAUACCCUGGUAGUCCACGCCGUAAACGAUGAGAACUAGGUGUCGUGGGUGUUGACCCCCGCGGUGCCGUAGCUAACGCAUUAAGUUCUCCGCCUGGGAAGUACGGCCGCAAGGCUAAAACUCAAA
rnacentral:rRNA from 1 species